rnacentral:lncRNA from 1 species
CGUGUCCUCCGCUGCAAUAGCCCCUGGGAAGUGUAGUCCGGAACGGAGGCGGCGUUCAGAAAUAGGGCGCUGGCUUUGCCAGGAGCGGCUCCUCUCCAAGCCUGGCGGUCACUGCCCUGUGUCCCCUUUUGGGCCUCUCCUGGUCCUCCUGGUUGGAUUAGGAGGCCUCUCAGCCCGGAGUCUGGGUCGCCGAAGUACAGGCCCCUUCACUGAAGCGACCCACGGCGCAGGGGUUUCUGGAAGCCAUCGCCAGGCUCCGAGUGUUCAGAUGCAGCUGCCAGGCUCAGGACGCAGAGAACUGGCUUCCAGCUCGCAGGAGCGCCUGUCCGUGGUGGGUAGGGUCGCAGGCGUGGGGUGUGCAGGAGCAGUGGGACAGCACUGAAACGCAGUCGGAAGAGAUACCACGGUGUGCAGGCACAGGGAAAAGACCACGUGAGGACACAGAGAGAAGACGGCCGUCUGCAAGCCAAGGAGAGAGGCCUCAGGUGAAACCAAACCUGCAGGCACCUUGAUCUUGGACUUCCAGCCUCCAGAAGCUUGAGAAAAGAAAUUUCUGUUGUUUAAGACACCCAUUCUGUGGUAUUUGUUCUGGCAGCCCUAACAAACUAAUAUAGGGAUCUAAAGAUUCCUUGUCUUCAUUUUGAGUAAGAGACUAUAAACUCAGAACUGUGGAGAUCUAGUUAGGUAUUGUACAGCUAGCCUCAUUCUGUCUUAAACUCCAGGUAAAAGAGAAAAAUAUGGAGACAGCCCCUGACUUUGGAGAACUUGCAGUUUUGUGGAGGUGAAAGGAGGCAGCCACAAGAAAAACCCCUGACAUCAAUUCAAAACUAUAAAUAACAAAGACUAACUUGUUCUAUGCACAACAGGUACUACAGCACUGUCCAACAUGGGGACAUGUGAGUGGCCUGAAGCAGCACAAGAACUGGGCAAUAAACUUGAGAUGAACCUCAAAGCAUCAAUAUUAUUCAUGACUAAACUGGGUUCUAAGAAUUUCUAUUUUUACUCUCAGUGUUCAGUAGAGGUCAUUAAAAAAAAAUCUAGCAAUUUUUUUUUCUAAAAUGAAUAUGUAAUAAGAAUGAAAAACAAAAAGCACUAUAAUGUUUUUAAUUAAUGAAAUGCCUUUACGAACCAAGGUGCCAUCUUGGAGAAGCUAGGCAUUAUGAGGAGCUAUCAGGAGCACAUUUGCUAACAGCUUGGCAUGAGCAGGAUUUUCUUGACCAACUGGCAAGAUGGGGCUGCUCAGCUCCUGCUGGCAGAUUUUUAUGGAGCAUAGUUUUACAAAUUCAGCCUACAACUCUGAUACGUUCCAAUGUAUUUUAAACAUCUAUUCAGUUGCAACUCUAAUCCCAGGAACCUGUGGCUAACAGAAGGCAGAUUUAACUGACUAGCAGCUGUGGGAUUUUCAAAGUCUAAACUGAAAUGAACAUGCGAAACAGUUGGACUACCCCAAAAGCUGAAUUACAAUUCCAGCACUCACCAGCUCUGAAACCUCACUUGGUUACCUAACGCCUCUGUGCCUCAGUUCCCCAGCUAUAAAAUGGAAAAGGCAACAAUACCAACCUUGUAGAUUAUGUUUUGGAUUAAAUGAGGCAACACAUACACAGCACUUAGAACGUGCAAGGCACAAUGGAAGCAUGCAGUGAACAUGACUUGUAAUGAUGCUGACUGUCAUAACUCUCAUCCAUAGGGAUGCUGCCUCUGCUUGUCACCCUUGACCUAUAUAUUUUCAGGCAGUCCUCACCCAGUCCCCAUUUGUGUGUUCUAGAUAGAAAAGGCCCCAUACUAUGAAAUGACUACUGUCCUUCUGCAUGAAGCCUGGUGAACCUGAUAAUGUAGCCUUCAAGUUCCCUUACUGAGCCUUGAGCUCCCUUCAAAGUAUCCAAGCCAACCCUGUCUUGGGAAACUCACCUAGAUAAUGCCCUGAACCCCAAUAAAGGCUCCAGCCCACAGGUCCCUCCCUCUCUCUUGGUCCCCACCCUUUGGCUGGGCAUGUGUGUCCUCAAUGUCUCCAAGCCCUUCCAGUAAGCCCUGCAAGGUGUGCUGGCCACUGUUCUCUGGAAUCUGUGAGUAAUAAACAAUCUUUUUGCCAUUCUGCUCUAAGUGUCCCUCACCAUGCUGCAUCUGACUACACAAAACCUAAUUUAAAUACCUCACUUAACAAACCACAACACCAACCAAGAGCUGAACCUUUUAAAGAUUCACAUUAUUCUACUAGAAACAAAAGUCCCUUUGAGGUUUGAUAUCUGCUGAAUAAUAUACAAUCACUUGUUCUUUAACCUGCUACCAAACUUUAAGGACAUUUGUAACUGAAUUGUGUAAAAAUAGGUCAAAAGGGUUUUGUAAGUGAUAUCCCAAUUUGAGUGAAUAUCAACUGCAGAGGGAGUUGAAUCAGUCAACUGCAGAGCUACACUCUUGAUGGUAAACUCAUCAUGGAGAAGUCUCCUAAGCUGGGGACUGAAAGGCCCCCUGCAGUGUAAACCAUGAGGUAAUACUUGCAGGAAACAGCCAAGAACUGCUUAAUGUCCUUGAGCAAAAGACACACUAAUAUGGCUACCUGAGGAAGCUAGUCUAAAACAAAUGCUGGUCAGCUCUCAGCAAUAAUUUUGCAAGUUGAAGCAUCUUGGCAUAAAAGAAGAGGAACUUAUUUGCUUGCCAAGAAGAAUCAACCCUAGUUUCCCAGGUUGAUCAUGCUAUGCAUUAGUGAUCUGCUUUUGUACCAGUGGUUUGUUAAAUGCC